CGGUGAGGUGGGAUCGUGCUGCCCAACGGCGACGUGAUGCGGCGGGGCACAGAAAUAGGUGCGCGGUAGGACAAGGCGGUAGGGACGGGUCAUGUGUUCACUGGUGUCACUCGCGUUAGUUCUGUCACACCAGAAAUACGUCCUGUUUCUCACCGGUGUGUAAUGGAUGUGGGGCUUUCCUCACAGGGUGCGUCGCCUGCACGAGUUCUUUUGCAGAUGUAUGUUCUGUAAAAUAAAAGCUGAAGGCAGCAGAGACACGCUGCAAGUGACAGGAUGGAUUGGUUGAUCUGCCUGGCUGAUUGCAGACAAACUGCACAUCAGAUCUCAUCUCUUCUUAGCGAAGGAAGAGCGAGCCCCUAACAGAGCCGUGGCUGCGAUCCCUCUGCCCUCAGAGCCGGUGCUGCCCGUGGGGAAUGUGCUCGAAAUCCCACCUGUGUUUCCAAACUGACGUUAAAUUACUGCAGACGUCUCAGUAUUUGCUGUGCACGGACAUAUCUUCUGUUGGAAAACAACACAUUGCGGUGAUGGAAAAUAACCUGAAUUCUUCCAUGCCGUUAACUGCAGGAGGUUUUCUACCUGAAGGGCCACGUCUGGCAGACAGGCUGGUGGGGCAGCACAGCCCAGUGCUGGGCUUUCAGGGCCGUGCACACAGCUGCUGGCUGGGGCUGAACCAGACGGAGCCAUGGCUGUAUGGCUGCGUGGCUGUUUGGCUGUGACUGUGUGACUGUCAGAUGGCUGUUCUGUACAGAAAGGCCUCUUCACCACAGCCUGUGCUCUGGGCUUUCUUCACACACUUUGCUGCACCUUGGGACGGGCCCCACGGUGGCUCUGAGCCUCACAACGGGCCCUGCUGCUGCCCCACCCCCACGCCAGGCCCUGCAAGUCCACCACAGCAGCAAGCUGCACCAUGGCAAGUGGCACCUAUAUGCAAAACAAUGACUGCUCCAGUUUUGAGUGGGGUCUUCCCAGACAGGGUUGAUGGUCUGAUCCUACUUCUGAUUUGAUAACAAGCCUUUUGGUUCACAUUCAUAAGAAGUGAGUGAUGAAGACGACAAGCAGAACCAAGGGGGCCCUGCCUGCAGCCUUCAGGUAGAGGAGGACCGCCAGGUUUAUUGCACAGCCUCCUUUCCACAGGCUGGCACAUGAGAACUGCACUACAAGGCUCUGGUGGACAGCACACAGCAUACCGUAGUGCCAUCAAGCUAUAGAGGAACAGAACUCUUCCUGGAGUAGUGAUGGAGGAUCCCAACAGCUAACUGUAUUGGAGGCUGAAGUGAGCCCAAUUGGGAAGGAGUGGCAAAACACCCCAUUGUGACCAACCCAGAGGCUCUGUGCAACGUUGGCAUAGAUCACCUCACAGGAAGACACCUCAAGGACUCAAACCAUGGCAUAGAUCACCUCACAAGAAGACACCUCAAGGACUCACUUGGUUUAACCUGACAGACAGCACGAUGAGAAAUCUGGCAAUGCCAGAGUGCCACUUGGGCACCAGCUGCUGCAGGCCUACAGCAGCAGACACUGCUCCAGAGGGCCAACAGGGCCACUGUCGCUGCUGCGAGGAGCUUGGCACAGAAGAACAUCCCUGGAGCAGCGAGCUAAGUGCACUGAGAUGUUUGAAGAUGUCCUCAGCCAUCUUCAGCCUGAAGCACCACUGAGACCCGCAGCUGCUGCAGAACACAAUGAAGCUACCAGAGAUGCUAAUGGAGGAGCUGAAGGGUUCAUAGGCAGAAAGCAAGGGGUGUGCUGUGGAGCCUACAACCAUGGAUUGCAGGAGUGCGUUUCUUAAAGCCAACAGAAUGGCAUCUUUUUUGAUGGGAAUAUAACAGUGGGACUUCAAAGCAUGACCAGCGCCCAGCGUUCAAAACAGCAUGCGAGCAGGAUACAACUUCAAGGGGGAGGAGAAACAAAGAGGACACCUGGGUUUGGGGUGCUGGGCCUCUGCGCCAUGCACCAAGAGCCAC
ensembl:lncRNA